AUGGCCGUGGCCGCUGCUUCCAGCAUCAUGUGCGCGACCUCCGCCGUUUCCGGCGUGGAGGUUGGAACCAGCGCCGCCAGGACCUCCGUCACAACCACCGGAACGGCGUGGAGCCGUCGAACCAGCCCGUGCAGCCAUCUGCGCCUCUGCAGCCCGAUGUGCCCGCCUGACUUCUGGCCGGUCCAGUUGCACCAAGGCUCGAGGCCGAUGGGGGCAUCGACCAGGCGCUGGCGGCGGGUGCUCGGUGCAUGGCUGGGCACUAUGCCCCCUGCAUCAGUACGACUUUCCCGUCAUGGAUCCGCCGCUGCAGCCUCCGACCCCAGCGGUUGUUGA
rnacentral:rRNA from 1 species